rnacentral:rRNA from 1 species
UACAGAGGGUGCAAGCGUUGUUCGGAUUUACUGGGCGUAAAGCGUGCGUAGGCGGUAUUGAGAGUCGCGGGUGAAAUCCCAGGGCUUAACCCUGGAACUGCCUGCGAGACCUCAGUACUAGAGUAUGAGAGGGGAUAGUGGAAUUUCUGGUGUAGCGGUGAAAUGCGUAGAGAUCAGGAAGAACACCGGUGGCGAAGGCGGCUAUCUGGCUCAUAACUGACGCUCAGGCACGAAAGCGUGGGUAGCAAACAGG